UCUGCCAGGCCUCAGCAGGAUAGAGGGGGCUGUGUCCUGGGACACAGGCUGUGACUGCAGGGUGGUUACCAAGCUGCCGUGGCGGGCGAGGUCAAGGACGCCAACAGGACCUCAAGGACAGCCGCCUACCUCCGUCUCUCAUUGGCUGAGCUGAGGGCUGGGCCUUGGCAGUGCAUGGAGGUCACCCUUGUCCGUGGCGAUGAGUCCAUGGAGGUCAACCUCCCAGGCAGAGAGCCGACUGGGAAACGGACGUGAAUCUAGAAGGCAAACAGAUCCUUACUGUGCCUUGGGAGCCCGGGUCACUGGAGUGGUGGGGAACCCUGUGGGAGAGACCAUGUGGGGAGCCGCAGAGAUGGGAGAGGAGACAGCCCCAGUCACCCAGGUGAACCAGUAGGCCAAGUCCCCCGGGAAUUGUGACGUCAGGGAAAACAGACUGAGCCCAGGACCAAACCAACCACGUUAUUCCAACUGGUGAUCUCCAGACUCUCAUUUCUGACCACUGUGUACGAGGGUGGCACUGGGUGUGUGAGACCUCGUGCCACUCGGGUUCUCUGGGGGAGAGACAGACAUCAAAAGCCAUGGACUUUUCAAUAUCCUAAGUUUUGUGAAUAAAAUAGGAGGCAAAAGAAAAUGGCCAACACAUGUAAAGAGCUCAUUAAAAGAAGUAAGAAGAGCAUCCAGAGUCCAACAUGUGUGAACAGAGGACAUGAAGGAUUAUGGGCUGGGCAAUUCAUCGCAUCUGUUUUGAACUCUGCAUGAAUACCAUGAGGAAGGAAGGUUUUGUGUCUGGACCCUUUUGCUUGAUGUAUGUUUGCAGAGCUGCCCACGUCCCCGGUGGCAGGAGGCUGUUCAUUUUGGUGGCUACAUUGUGUUUCAUUAUUUGAAUGUCUGCCAUAAUCCAGCUGCUACUUGAAGGAAAUGAGCAUAGUUUCCAGUUUUUUUCCAACACAUCACAAGCAAUGCGGUAAUAGGCAUCUUUGAGCACACACCUCUGUGGGCUCACGCUUUUAUGUCUAAGGAAGGACUCCAUCUUUCCAUUUGUUGAUGAGAAUUAAAGUUUCCUUUUGAUACUUAUCCAAGGACUUGACGUUCCUUCCAUCUGGAGCUCCAUCCAGUGACAGGACUUCAUUGAUGGGACCUCAUUGACGGGACCAGAUCUUGCUGAGGAGCAGUGGGAUGUACCUCACGGACAAUGGACAGCCAUCAACAGCUCUAAGCAGAGUGGCGGGGGAAGAUGUGUGUUCCGGAAAGGUCUCCCUGGCUGCAUGGUGGGGGAGCCGUGAUGUGGGACACUGUGGAGGCAGAGACCACUGUUGAGAAGAGCAGCUGAGGCAGGAGGGGACAGCCCUAAAAGAUGGAGGGGAAAAACUGACCAGCCCCAGGGAGUGGCCAGUGGAGGGGGCAGCCUGGGGGUGAGGACAGACAGGGCAUAGAAGGGUCAUGAGACCUGCUCCAUCUCGCCCAGGCCCCGGCCCAGCAGGGUGGCCCUGACUCAGUAGCCAGCCGCUAAGGUUCUGCCCCACUCUUAGGGGCUGGGUCUGUGUGGCGGCCACUUCCCGAGUCCUGCUUUCUCUCUCCACCCAAAUGGGCCCCCAGCCCCACAGGGAGGCCUGAAGCCCUUCUGCUGGGUGAGUCUGCCAUGACACGGUGGCCAGUUCCCCGGGGGAGAGGACGGCCUCCUGCCUCACCUGGUCUCGGCUCCACACCUCUCCUCUGGAGGCCUGUCUACUCCCCACUAGCACGUCCAGUCUGAUGAUUACUUCAUGAGGCAGGAAAACCAGGUACCCAUCUAGCACUUACCAAAUCCCUGGGAAGGCCUCCUGCCCCUGCUGGGAAGGCCUCCUGCUACAACAUGGGAACAAGAGGCCUUUAGCAUCAGCAGAGGCCGCCAGCCACCACUUCUUGCAGUUGGGGUGAAUGGGGAGGCUGUUCCCGUUCCUGCCAGGAGGGGCAGACGCAGGGCCGGAUGGUGGCAACCCCGAGAGGUCUCCCAGCCCUACCUCAGACAGCCCGUGAUGGACUGCCAGAGAGGCCUGCUCAGCUGCCAAGCCCACACUGCCAAGUGCCCACCAGGAGCCUGCCAACUGCCAGUCAGGAGGGGCCAGUGAUCAGGAGGAGGGCUGCCAACUGCCUGUCACUACCCUGGCCAACUGUCAGUCAGGAGAGGACCAAGCCCCAGGAAGUCAGGGUUGCCCGUCAGGCAUCAGCCAACUGUCACUCAGGAAGGCCCGCGGCAAGCCAGGGCGUCCGGCAGUGGUCAUUCUGCUGACAGAUACUGUUCCCGCUACCUGGCAUCUUUUCACCUUCCCUGACACUGGGCUUUCAGGGCUACCCCUCCCCAGCGCUCAGUCCCUGCAUCUCUGUGGGCUGGUUUCCUCUUUGGCUGCCAGGACAGACCACAAGGCUCAGGUUUGGCCAAUUAGACCACUGCCUUCCUCUGCCGUUGUGAUUGGUUUAUGCCUGGACCUGGCUCUCAACCCCGGCCAGCUGUAACCAAUCAGAACCAACGCUGGGUGAGGAGUCUUCUCUGGGGUGUGAGACUAGCAGCCAGCUUGCCAUCGCUGGAGCAAGAUGCUGAGAAGGAAGCCAGCCCCAAGGAUGCCAAAAUGAAGGGCAGAGAAACUGGAUCCGGGUUCAGGUCCUGGAAAUACUGUGUGCUCCUGGAUCCAGCCAUACUGAAACCAGUCACCACUGGGCCUUCUAGUUGUGUGAAUCAAUGAAUUCCUCCCUUUGGGCCUAGCAAGAAACAUCAUGAGGAGCACCAGCAAUCACUCUGGGAGUCUACCAGUGUCUCCGGGGCCCAGAUGCUGGUCAUGGCUUUAGUGGGAGGCUAGGGAUGUUUCCAGAGGAACUUCUGACUUAAAGGGCUAGACAAGCGGCUCCAUGUUUGCCCUCCUUGCCCCAGACUGUGGAGCUAUUGGCAUGAUCAAGAUGUUGCCCACGGGCUGGGGCUGCGGCUCAUCGGUAGAGCACUCGCCUAGCAUGUGCGAGGCGCUGGGUUUGAUCCUCAGCACCACAUAAAAAUAAAUAAAUAAAAUAAAGGUAUUGUGUCCAACUACAAGUAAAAAAAAAAAAAAGAUGUUGCUCAAGCCUCAGCAUCAAGCAAAGCUGAGAAGUGGGGGAUUUGCCCCAGUGAGGUGGUAUCUGGAGCAAAGACUCCCCUGGGGUCCAGUGGCAAUGGCAGCAGCAGCAGUGGUUUGGAGCUUCCUAUAUCCUUUCCAGAAACUUCAGGGAGAGUCAGUGUCUUUGGGGAUUGGGACAAAGAAACCCACCAGCCCCUUAUACCCUCAGGGUGAAGCAGCUGCAUCUUCUGGGGACAAGGAACAGCCGACUCAAGGCUGCUUUCUGCAAUCCUGCCUCCUCACACUUGUUAAGUGUCCUUCCAUGCACCUGGCAGAGCACUGGGCACAUUUCAGGUGCUCCAGGAAUUAUUGGAGGUAGGGGGACGAUCUGCCCAAGAAAAGGAAGGGGAGAAAGUGUGCCUGCCUGAGGAAGGCUGGGACGCUGUUAGUCAAAUUUCUGUUGCUCUGAUAAAAUACCUGAGAAAAUUCUAAAAAAGAGAAGGUAAUUUUUGGCUUAGUUUCAGGCAAUUGGUUUUGGGCCUGGCAGAAUGUCACUGUGGGCGGUGGGCAGCUUGCCUCAUGUGGCUGGGAAGCAGACAGAAAGAGGAAGGGGCUGGUGUCCCAAUCUCCCCUUCAAGGACAUGCCCCCAAUGACCUAACUGCCUCUCACUAGGCCCCACCUCCUACAAGUUCCACCACCUCCCAGUAGCACCAAGGACUGAGAUCAAGCCAUUAGCACAAAGCCAUUUAAGAUCCAAAUCAUGGUAGGUACCAAAGAAGUCAUUGACCUCUUCCUCCCAGCUCAGAAGUGACUGGGCUCAGAGGUAUUGGAAUCUGACAGCAGUGUUGACACGGCUAUGCCAGGAAGAGACCAGGUGGGGCCGGAUAAAGAUCUCGAUGAAUCACGACAAGUGCCAGAACCACACUCUUACAUCUCAGGCUUCUCAUUCAAGAAGCCACAAAACUCAGGGAUUGAAAGUCAGGAGUGUGCAGCUCCACUCUGGGGUUCAAAUCCGGCUCCACCAGCACCCCUAUAAAAUAAUCCUGGGGAGAUCCUUUUACCUGCUUCCAGCUCAGCCUCCUAGAGCAGGUUAGAUUUUCACUACUAAUACAUAUACCUUACUCACACACAGGGAUUGAGUACUGUGAUUAUAAAAUAAGUAUGAUUUAUUAAUGUCUUACUAGGUGUUUACUGGCACCAAACCCACCCGUGUUAGUUCACUAUGUGACUUACUCCCUAGGUUUUCAAAGCCACUCUGGGGGACAGAGCUAUUGGUCCCAUCCCACAGAGGAGGAAGUUGAGGCUGAGGGAAGUCAAGAUCAGGUUAAAAUCAAGCUCAAGUUCCCAGAGAGCCUGGCUCCAAACCCCAGACUCUUUGCUUCUCCGCGCGCGCCCCGUGGCAGCAGCUGGAGCGGCCACUCGGCUUCCCUCGGUGGACAGCAAGCAAGGCCGGCCAGCCAGGGAGCCAGCCCAGCCCCAGCACAAUUGCCCCGGGGAGCCAGGGUGGUGUUGGGGGAUAUUUAGCUGCAUAGCGCACUCCGCAUGCCAGGGCUGUAGGAGCCCACACGCCCAGAGCCAGGCCUCAGGCUGGGGCUCUGCCCAAGCCACAUGUGACCUCCCCAAGCAGGAUCCAGUUACAUCACAGCAGCAGCCCAAGGAACAGACCUGGCUGUGUCUCCCACCACGUGCUUAUUUCCUUUGCCUUGUGAGUGUUGAAAAAUGAAAGGAAUGAUAAGGGUUUGGGGAUGUGGUGGGGGGCUGGCUGGAAAAUCCUGCAGAACUUGGGUAACUCAGCCAGAGGGAGGCACGGAGGAGUUCUCAGAGAGAGAAAAAAAUCUCACAAGGUUACAGGCACAGCCUGGGAGCAGGGGCUUCUGGAUUCCUGCUCCCCGUUGGGGGUUGAAGGUCCAGCCUUGGGACAGAAGGUUCACAUCCUGGGGUUCUGCUGCUGGCCUCCCAGGGCCGGGCCACCACAGCCCUUUGGGCCUCAGCUACUCUUGCAAGGAAGAGUUGGGGAAAUGCAUGCAGACCAGAGGCCCCUGAGGGGCAGUUUUGCUCCUCGGGGACAUUUGGAAAUGUCCAGGAACACAUUUUUUGGUAGUCAGAGCUGGGAAGGGCAACUAGUGAGUAAAGACCAGGGAAGCCAGACACCCUCAGUGCCCACGAUGGCCCCCGCCACAGAGAAUGCUCCUGUCCCCAGUGUCAAGAGCCUGUGGUUUAGAGAAGGCCGAUGUGGAGCCUGGAAGGUGUAGCAGCGCAGGCCCAUCGGGAAGCUUAAGGGAAGGCGGCGGGAGGAAGGGGCGUCCUGGAAGCCUCCACGUGGGCUGCCUCUGAGGAAGCGUCUGUGUCCGUCAGACAACAGAUGUUUACCCAGUGUCUAGCGGAGCCAGCACUCUGCCAGGAGCUGGGCAGAAGUGGACAACUUCUCACCUCACGCAGUGUCUGGUCCAGAGGGGCAGAAAGAGCCAGACGGAGUAAGCAAGCAAGUCAGUGACAUGGCCCCCAACACCAUCAAGGAUGGUAAAUGGAUGAACAACUGCCGUCUGUCCAGACACUGCGAGACUGUUCAGCCACCGAAGGAGGAUGUCCUGAUGCAACUAUGACCCGGAUGAACCUGGAAGGCCUUAUGCUCAGGGGAAGAAGCCCAACCCUGCAGAUCACGUGCCACUGAUGGCAUUGCUGUGAAAGAACAGGAAAAUGUGUAGAGACAGGAAGUAGCUGGUUGCCAGGGACUGAGAGAGCUGGGGGAAAUGGAGGAGGACUGGUAACGGCUACAGAAUUUCUUUUUAAGCCACUGGAGGAUCUGAGCACCAAGGGCUGCCCAGAGCCAAGGAUGGUGGGAGAUGCCAGAGAAAUGUCCUACAGAUAUACUGCAUUGCCUGCUCUGCCCUGGGGGCCAGCCUGUUCUGCCCUGGGGGACAGCCUGCUCUGCCCUGGAGACCCUCAAGCAUGCAACUGGGUCACUUCCGAGGACCUGAGUCUUCUUUGUCGGGUUGGCAUGCCCUGCCCUCCCUAGGGAUCUCCCUUCACCCUUGUGCCCACCACCCUGCAGGGGUCUUCUGAGUCACAGCUUUAUCCCACCACGACCACAGGGAGCCAGGCACGCAGUGACUUGCUGCCAUCACACGCCAGGUCAAGACGUUGACCAGGUGUCCUGAGGAGUCCUCGGGUCCUGUCUAUCAGCUAUGGGGCCACCAGCAUCAUGUCACCCCCUUGAGUUCACAGAGCCUCUUAGGUAUGAUUAGCACUGGAGAGUGACCCUGGGCCUAAGAGGCAGGGGUCUGAACAGAGACCCUACUCUGUAGGGGAGGAAGGGCGAUGUCACACAAUGGAGGUGGCAGAGCCCAGAGGGGAGCUCAGGCCAGUGGGACUCCAGAGUCAAGAUUCUGCUCCCAAAUCUCAGGGCUUCCCACUGCUGGAGGAGUCUCGCUGCCGCCUGGCAGGUGUGGGAAGCCUGGGCACUCGGAAUGGGCAUCUGGGCAUCACAUCUACCAGGAGCCUGGGGACCUCAACAGUCUGCGAGAGGUGGCAGGAGCCUGGACCCUGCAUAUGAGGGACAGUGGUCCCAGAUUCAGGAGGAACUAUAGUGGGCAGCUGUCCAUUUAUGAAGAGAUGGAUAUUAAUGAACAUUUGUAAAUCAAAUCACUGCCUCACAGCCCCCCUCAAAAGCAGCCCAGCAGGAUGGGGGUGCCCUGGAGCUGCCCCAGCCCUUCCUCCUGUGUUGCCUCCUGGCUUUUCCUGGUGUCCAGGCCGCCUGUAUAUAGAAGUUCUCUUCAUAAGUACAGACAUCCAGGGUGUCAUCAACCUCUGCUUCCACUGAAAGCCCCUCCUGAACAGCGGAGGAGUCCCCCUGAAGGUUAUGGUAGGAGUGUGGGUCUCUCCUCUCCUGAGACGGUCCCCUUGCCAUUUAGAACAGUUCGCUUAGGACUUGGGCAGAUGACUCCUCUGUUGGUGAUCUGGCUCCUUUCUUUAUCCCCCACCCAAUUAGAACAUUCCCAAGGGCAAGGACUGGCUUCUCCACCAGACAGAGCCCUGGGCUGGGGCACAGGAAGGAGUGGGGUAAGGGCUGAGCCACGCAGUCAGCCCAGGAGAUUUCUAUCACUCUAGAACAUUAGUUUGGCCUGAGGAGAAUCAGUUUCUCAAAGUAUUCUGGUCCCCAGGAGCUGGGUGGUGGCCACAGGACUCAAUUCCUGAUCACUCAAUUCCUGAUCAGAUAGCCUGGUCCCCUGAAAUGGGGCCAGGAUAGGGCUUAGGUCUGGUGCCUCCCUGGGCUUGGCGCCCACCCCCAAUCUGGUUCUCUUUUGGUUUGGGGAAGAACCUCAAGCAUGGCAACUCGGCCACUUCCCAGGACCUAAGUCUUCUUUGUAGGGUUGGCAGCCCUGUCCUGUCCCUUGGAGGUUUGGCGCUUGUCAUGCUCCUCCGCUUGCCCGAGCACAGGGACAGAAUUAGCUCUCCAAGCCGCCAAACCUUCCCUGGGAGGGACCAGAAUUUGGCCUCCUGGGAAUCUGCCCAAGGCUUUUCUCCUUGGUUCCUCUGGGAAAAGAUCCAGAAAAAGACUGAAAGCUCUUGGCAGAUUGGAGGAGGGGAGGGGCGAGACCAGGCUCUGUCCUGCCUUCAGAGGAAGCCCCCCGGCUCUGGGAAACUGAGAACUCCCACCACAGCCAAGACAGUGACUUGUGCUCCGUGGCCCUGGGGAGGGCUGGCUGGGCCUCCCUCCCUCCCAGCAUGCAGUCACUCCCCAGGGAUCCUUGCUGCAUUCCUGGCCUGCAGGCCAAAUGCAAUUUCAUGGAAACCUCAGGAGUUGAAUGCUUUCCAAAAGGGUGGCCUGGAGCCAGACCAUGAGCACAGGAAUCUAUCCACUCUGCUCAAGGAAGGUCCGAAAAAUCAGGACUCAGCAGACAGAUCCCCAGCUGGUCCUCCUGUCUCUGCCCACCAAGAUGUGCCCGCCCCCAACCUGGCUCCUGGGCCAGCCAAUGACAGGCACCUGCCCUGGGGACACACCCAUGUUGUCCAGCCAUGCGGGGUGGGGGGAGGGGGGGUGUCAGGUAGUUGUGAACAUUCCAGAAGGACCCCCUUGACACCCAAGGCAGACUUUGGUGACACAUGUCCUCAAGAACCAAAAGGAAGCUGAUGGAAGGGUCCGGGAUGGGUGCCAUCUGAUGCCAGGACAUCAUCUUCCGUGCCCGCCCCAGCACCGGGGGGACGGCAUUUCCUGCUGCACCCCGCGCGGGCUGGAUCACAUGACCUCUCUCUGGCCAAUGAGACGCGAGCUGAAGUGACGCGAGUUGUUUCCGGGCAGAAAAUUGAAGAGCCAGUGGCAGCUGGCGAGGGGCGCUGAGCUGCGCCUGGACGCUCCGUCCUCGAUGGAAGGAAGCCCUUGUGGCGCCUGAGCCCGGGGCAAAGGCGACACAGCGCGGAGCUGGAGCCACCUGGCCGGAGAGGCAGCGACCCUCAACUGAAGCUCGCGUGGAGAUUGGGGUCGUGUGCGCAGCCGUCGCCGAGAGCCGGCCCGGGGUCUUCGGCGCCUGGGGGUGGGGGGCGUGAUGACUAACAGUGCAACUGUCGCGCCCGGCGGCGGCCACGCUUAGUGCUUAAAAAUGGUAGAGAGAAUCAAUUUCUGCUCGCAGACCAGAGUGACCCUCCUGCCCGCUGAGGGUGGGAUCUUCUAAUGGCAGUUGGGAGGGCUCGGCCUGAGGUUUGUAUGCACCCCGGGAGGAAGCGCCUCCCUGAGUCAGAGGCCGUGACCUUCUGCUGCGUCCCUGGGGAACCCCCGCCUGCUCCCUGCCACCCACCCGCAGCAGCUCUGUGGACAGAGGCUGCUUCUGUGAGGUGACAUUGUUUGGUGAGCUUGCUGCAUGGGCGCUGGGAGGGACAGCCGCCAGAGAUCCAUAGGGCGACCCUCGCCACCUCUUUUUGGCUAUAACUUUCCCCCAAUGACUGAGCCCGAGACCAAUACCUUCAGCAGCCCCAGACUUCACUUUUCCUGCAAUCAGAUGUGGUGUGGGGUCCUUGCUGUCCCAUAGCACUGGCCUUAUUGCAGUGAUCUAUCACUAAGUGUUUUUUUCCAGUGACCCAUGGUCCCUUCUUGACCAGAUGAUUGACAUCAGGACUGGAGGUCUUCAGAGUUUGGGCUUCUCAGCAGCGUUCCCCUGUCCGCUCCACCCACGUGCCAUGUAGACAGCAGGUGUCGGUGAAGACAGGUUCUUCUCUCCCAGGUUGAUGGCCUGGUGCUGCUGGCACAGGAUGGAGGGCAGCCCCAGCUGUGGCCAGCCCCAGCUGUGGCCCGCUCUCUGCAGUCUGGUUCUUGGUGGUCAGGCAAGGGAACCACUGGUGUUGGGAAGGGCUCUGGCAAGGAACCAGGCACUUCCCCCUGCCCUCAGGUCUGGGCUCCAUUUCCUCUCCUGGUCUUUGCCCACUUCUCUCCUCCUGGCAGCUGGGGGCCCUGAGCUGGCCAGUUCUCUCAAAGGAUAGGGUUUUGUGGUUGGGGCUGGCUCCCUCCCAACUGCCCACCAAGGAUGUGAACAAGGGAACUUGCAAAAGCCAUCUCUCUUUAUUUUUCAUUCCAGCUGUUCAACCAGUUUGUGCAAGCUGAGGAUGAGUGGGUUUUGGAGGGAAAGGUAGAGCAUCUAGGGACAGACCCUCCCAGAAAUAGUCUAUGCACACUGCUGAGGCUGGUUAGACUUGAGAAGCAAUUUAACAAUGAACUCUACAGAAUCAGAAAUGUAGAAAUGACAAGGCAGCUGCUAGCUGGUUUCUUGGCUCCCCAUGGGGGUCAGAGUUACACCCAUCAGUCCUGUGCAAAGGUCCUGGGGCUGACCUGGGGGGCUGCCAUAUUCUUCCCUGGGGACAGAAGCAGCCCUGCUCACCCAGCAGAAAUGUACCAACAGGCAGGCGCAUGGGUGUGUGCCCAGGUUCUAUGGCCCCUGCAGGCUCUGUGGCUCCUUGAGCAUGUCUCUUCCUCCUGCCUCUAUGUCCGCCCCUUGAAGGUGUUCAUGCAGGUGUAGGUUCCUGAGAAUCUGUGGAUCUCCUCCAGUGCAGCCUGUGGGAGUAUGCUGGGGAGCAGGGAGGAAGAAAGGAAGAUGGUCAGCAGGGGGGUCACUGGUGGCCACAUCAAACAAGAGUGGUAGAAUGGUAUUCCUAGAAGCACUCAUCUCCCCUUUCCCAAGCACAGGCCAGCUUCCCCUGUGACCACCGCGUUCACCCGGGGAAGGGCUUUCACACAAGUGGGUGAGCCGCUCUCCACAAGGUGAAGGGCGGCCACAGGAUCAGCUUUGCUGCGCCACAUUCGUGGCAUCUACUGUGGUGUGAAUGUGCUGGUCCCCUCCGAAAUUCACGCUGCAAUGUGGCCAUCGUUGGUGGAGUUGGGGGGUGACCUUGAGGGCGCUCUGCCCUCACGAGUGGACUGUUCCACUCAGGCGUCAUGGGUGGUCUGGCGGUGGCUUUGUCAUAAGGCAGCUGGCUGACUCACCACGUGGUGCCAUGCUGAGGGACAGCAGCACCAUCUCUAGAGGCCCAGCAGGCCAGCCCUGUGCUCUUGAACUGAGAGUGAAUAAACCUCUCUUCCUUACAAGUAA